rnacentral:rRNA from 1 species
CAGCAGCCACGGUAAUACGAAGGGUGCAAGCGUUAAUCGGAAUUACUGGGCGUAAAGCGUGCGUAGGCGGUUUGUUAAGUCUGCUGUGAAAUCCCCGGGCUCAACCUGGGAAUGGCAGUGGAUACUGGCAAGCUAGAGUGUGUCAGAGGAUGGUGGAAUUCCCGGUGUAGCGGUGAAAUGCGUAGAGAUCGGGAGGAACAUCAGUGGCGAAGGCGGCCAUCUGGGACAACACUGACGCUGAGGCACGAAAGCGUGGGGAGCAAACAGGAUUAGAUACCCCAGUAGUCCCUGUCUCUUAUAA